GGGGAAUCUUGCGCAAUGGCCGAAAGGCUGACGCAGCGACGCCGCGUGUGGGAUGACGCCUUUCGGGGUGUAAACCACUGUUGCCCGGGACGAAACCUGGUUUUCGAGCCAGUUGACGGUACCGGGUGAGGAAGCACCGGCUAACUCCGUGCCAGCAGCCGCGGUAAUACGGAGGGUGCGAGCGUUGUCCGGAAUCACUGGGCGUAAAGGGCGCGUAGGCGGCUUGGGAAGUCCGUGGUGAAAGCUCGAGGCUCAACUUCGAGUCGGCCAUGGAUACUCCUAAGCUCGAGUCGACUAGAGGCAGAUGGAAUUCCGGGUGUAGCGGUGGAAUGCGUAGAGAUCCGGAAGAACACCGGUGGCGAAGGCGGUCUGCUGGGGUCGAACUGACGCUGAGGCGCGACAGCGUGGGGAGCAAAC
rnacentral:rRNA from 1 species